GCCUUUCAGGAGUCCGCUGAGGGUUGCAACAUUGGAAAGUAAAAUGUUUAAAGGCUACCACAGUCUACCACAACAUUUGAGAAGAUGCUGUAACCUACGAAAAAAAGGUUUAGAAGCAUACCAAACGUGGAGAGGAGUCCACAGAGCGCCCAGACCACUAGGGAGAGUCCCACACUGCCUGUAUUGAUGUGCACUCCUUUGGGAGCGAUGAAGAUCCCGCUGCCAAUCAUGGUGCCCAUGAUGAAGGAGACUGCAGGCACCAGACUAAUGCUGCGUCUCAGAUGAACCCGAUCUUCCUUCCCUUCACACUCCUCUUUCUGGCUCGCCAUCUUUGCUUUAGUUCCCCUCACAACGGACAUGUCCAGCUCCUCAGAGAGAGCAGAAACUUCUGCUGUGGAGUUGAACAACAAGCCAAUACCUUUCCUCGCAGUGGAGG